GUCCACGCCGUAAACGAUGUCGACUUGGAGGUUGUGCCCUUGAGGCGUGGCUUCCGGAGCUAACGCGUUAAGUCGACCGCCUGGGGAGUACGGCCGCAAGGUUAAAACUCAAAUGAAUUGACGGGGGCCCGCACAAGCGGUGGAGCAUGUGGUUUAAUUCGAUGCAACGCGAAGAACCUUACCUACUCUUGACAUCCAGAGAACUUUCCAGAGAUGGAUUGGUGCCUUCGGGAACUCUGAGACAGGUGCUGCAUGGCU
rnacentral:rRNA from 1 species